rnacentral:rRNA from 1 species
GACGAACGCUGGCGGCGGGCUUAACACAUGCAAGUCGAACGGAAAGGCCCUGCGUUUGUGGGGUGCUCGAGUGGCGAACGGGUGAGUAACACGUGAGUAACCUGCCCUUGACUUUGGGAUAACUUCAGGAAACGGGGGCUAAUACCGGAUAGGAGCUCCUGCUGCAGGGAGGGGGUUGGAAAGUUUCGGCGGUUGGGGAUGGACUCGCGGCUUAUCAGCUUGUUGGUGGGGUAGUGGCUUACCAAGGCUUUGACGGGUAGCCGGCCUGAGAGGGUGGCCGGCCACCAUGGGACUGCGAUACGGCCCAGACUCCUACGGGAGGCAGCAGUGGGGAAUCUUGCCCAAUGGGCGGAAGCCUGAUGCAGCAACGCCGCGUGCGGGAUGACGGCCUUCGGGUUGUAAACCGCUUUCGCCUGUGACGAAGCGUGAGUGACGGUAAUGGGUAAAGAAGCACCGGCUAACUACGUG